rnacentral:rRNA from 1 species
CGCCUCUUGACAUAAUAAGAGGUCCAGCCUGCCCAGUGAAAAGUUCAACGGCCGCGGUACCCUAACCGUGCAAAGGUAGCAUAAUCACUUGUCCUUUAAAUAGGGACUUGUAUCAACGGCCUCACGAGGGUUAUACUGUCUCCUCUCUCCAAUCAGUGAAACUGAUCUCUCCAUGAAAAAGUGGAAAUAAACCUAUAAGACGAGAAGACCCCAUGGAGCUUUAAACCUACAGCAACUUAGCAGUAUGCCUUCCCAUCAGCUACAAACCGUGCUAAAGGGUUUUAGGUUGGGAGGACCACGGAACAUAAACCAACCUCCGUAACGAAAAGACAUGAUCUUUACCUAAGAGUUACAACUCUAAGGAUUAGAAAACUAUCGUAAAAUGACCCGAUAUCGAUCAACGAACCUAGUUACCCUGGGGAUAACAGCGCAAUCUACUUCAAGAGUUCCUAUCGACAAGUAGGCUUACGACCUCGAUGUUGGAUCAGGGUGUCCUGGUGGUGCAGCCGCUACCAAGGGUUCGUUUGUUCAACGAUUAAAACCCU